rnacentral:tRNA from 1 species
GGUUACACCUCAGUGGUAGAGCGCUUGCCUAGCAUGUGUGAGGUACUGGGUUCAAUCCUCAGCAAAUCA